rnacentral:rRNA from 1 species
CACGGUAGGGCGCAAGCGUUGUCCGGAAUUAUUGGGCGUAAAGAGCUCGUAGGCGGUCUGUUACGUCUGCUGUGAAAACCCAGGGCUUAACCCUGGGCUUGCAGUGGAUACGGGCAGACUAGAGGCAGGUAGGGGAGAAUGGAAUUCCCGGUGUAGCGGUGAAAUGCGCAGAUAUCGGGAGGAACGACCGGUGGCGAAGGCGGUUCUCUGGGCCUGACCUGGACGCUGAGGAGCGAAAGCGUGGGGAGCGAACAGG